rnacentral:SRP_RNA from 1 species
GCCGGGCGAGGUGGCAGGCGCCUGUAAUCCCAGCUACUUGGGAGGCUGAGGUAGGAGAAUUGCUUGAGCCCAGGAGGCACAGGUUGCAGUGAGCCGAGAUUGCGCCACUGCACUCCAGCCUGGGCAACAGAGCAAGACUCCAUCUCAA